rnacentral:rRNA from 1 species
GACGAACGCUGGCGGCGUGCUUAACACAUGCAAGUCGAACGGAAAGGCCCUGCUUUUGUGGGGUGCUCGAGUGGCGAACGGGUGAGUAACACGUGAGUAACCUGCCCUUGACUUUGGGAUAACUUCAGGAAACUGGGGCUAAUACCGGAUAGGAGCUCCUGCUGCAUGGUGGGGGUUGGAAAGUUUCGGCGGUUGGGGAUGGACUCGCGGCUUAUCAGCUUGUUGGUGGGGUAGUGGCUUACCAAGGCUUUGACGGGUAGCUGGCCUGAGAGGGUGACCGGCCACAUUGGGACUGAGAUACGGCCCAGACGCCUACGGGAGGCAGCAGUGGGGAAUAUUGCACAAUGGGCGGAAGCCUGAUGCAGCAACGCCGCGUGCGGGAUGACGGCCUUCGGGUUGUAAACCGCUUUCGCCUGUGACGAAGCGUGAGUGACGGUAAUGGGUAAAGAAGCACCGGCUAACUACGUG